UGGGGAAUAUUGGGCAAUGGGCGAAAGCCUGACCCAGCGACGCCGCGUGCGGGAAGAAGGUCUUCGGAUUGUAAACCGCUUUUAUGAGGGACGAUAAUGACGGUACCUCAUGAAUAAGCCACGGCUAACUACGUGCCAGCAGCCGCGGUAAUACGUAGGUGGCAAGCGUUAUCCGGAUUUACUGGGUGUAAAGGGUGUGUAGGCGGGAAAGCAAGUCAGAUGUGAAAUUUACGGGCUCAACUCGUGAACUGCGUCUGAAACUGUUUUUCUUGAGGGUCGGAGAGGUAACUGGAAUUCCUGGUGUAGCGGUGAAAUGCGUAGAUAUCAGGAGGAACACCGGUGGCGAAGGCGAGUUACUGGACGAUUACUGACGCUGAGACACGAAAGUGUGGGGAGCAAACAGG
rnacentral:rRNA from 2 species